rnacentral:rRNA from 1 species
CCUACGGGUGGCUGCAGUGGGGAAUAUUGGACAAUGGGGGAACCCUGAUCCAGCCAUGCCGCGUGUGUGAAGAAGGCCCUCGGGUUGUAAAGCACUUUCAGUGAGGAAGAACGCCUGGUGGUUAAUACCCAUCAGGAAAGACAUCACUCACAGAAGAAGCACCGGCUAACUCCGUGCCAGCAGCCGCGGUAAUACGGAGGGUGCGAGCGUUAAUCGGAAUUACUGGGCGUAAAGCGCGCGUAGGUGGCUUGAUAAGCCGGUUGUGAAAGCCCCGGGCUCAACCUGGGAACGGCAUCCGGAACUGUCAAGCUAGAGUGCAGGAGAGGAAGGUAGAAUUCCCGGUGUAGCUGUGAAAUGCGUAGAGAUCGGGAGGAAUACCAGUGGCGAAGGCGGCCUUCUGGACUGACACUGACACUGAGGUGCGAAAGCGUGGGUAGCAAACAGGAUUAGAUACCCUAGUAGUC